rnacentral:pre_miRNA from 1 species
UAGAGUGACCAACCAUCCUGGUUGGUCUGGGUCUGUCCUGGUUUUAGCACUGCAAGUCCCUCAUCCCAAAGAAACGCCCCAGUCCUGGGCAAACUGGGAUGGUUGGUCACUCUAAAUUAAA